ACAGAGCCUUACAAUGUUGCUAUCUUGACAGAACAGGACCAGAUGGGACAGAGUUAUGAGUCAACAUCAGUUGCGAUGUUUCACGCAACAGCCAUUGGACGGGCAACGCAACGCAUAUUUGACGCAUGUUUUCAAAUAAUGAAGGACCUUCACAAGAAACCCGACGCGAAAAUGUUCAACGAUAUCAUAAAGUUUGGAUGCGAGAAUGGGUACAUCUGCGUCGAAAAGUUUGGAGAGGAAGUCCCAAAG